rnacentral:rRNA from 1 species
AGGACGAACGCUGGCGGCGUGCUUAACACAUGCAAGUCGAACGAGGUCCAACCCGUCGCAAGACGGGAGAAGACCUAGUGGCGAACGGGUGAGUAACACGUGAGGAACGUGCCCCGGAGACCGGGAUAACAGCGGGAAACCGCUGCUAAUACCGGAUACCUUCCUUGAUCGCAUGAUCAGUUGAAGAAAUGGAUUCCGCUCCGGGAGCGCCUCGCGGUCUAUCAGCUUGUGGUGGGUAACGCCUACCAAGGCGACGACGGAUAGCUGGUCUGAGAGGACGAUCAGCCACACUGGGACUGAGACACGGCCCAGACUCCUACGGGAGGCAGCAGUGGGGAAUCUUGCCCAAUGGGCGAAAGCCUGAGGCAGCAACGCCGCGUGUGGGAUGAAGGCCCUUGGGUUGUAAACCACUUUCAGUCAGGGACGAAAUGACGUACCUGCAGAAGAAGCCCGGCAACGUACGUGCCAGCAGCCGC